GCUGCCGUUCGUGCGGCGGGGCGUAUGUGCGCCGGAAAUAUCGGUGUCCCUUUUCUUCCACCUACGUCCGAGCGAGUGUGAGAGAGAGGUAGUUCUAGGGCUGCGCCAACAUGCCUCUGCGGCGAACUUGGAUCAGUUGGUGCUGAGAGAUGACCCACAAACGUCUGGCUGGGCAAAAGACGUUCAGUGAUUCAGCUACUACUCGGUCGUCUAAUUAGUGUGUGUUGGCCGUUUGGUGGUGUGGCAAAUCUGUCCACAGUGUGGUUGAUGAAUUUGUAGUUUGUUGCUGCAGGAUACGUGUUGGCAGACCACCCCUGAAGCGGCCGCUGUGUGAUGGCAGGGUGUGCGUACUGGAGAAGAGCUUCAGGGGAUUUGCUAAAGAAGAACAGAGGUAGUAGUUGUUCUGACAGUUGGUAGUUCAUUCGACUCACUGGGAGAAGCAUAUGGUUAUUACAACCUGUACUUCUGGGAAACUGGCUUUUGUAUGAGGUGUGAGAAGAGCCGACUGAGCGUCAAUUGGAUGAAGUGUAUGCAGGAAAUCGUCUGUGUCUGCUCGGUGAGGCAAACUCAAAAUUAUAUUAUAGGUAACACCAUGCCAUCUCCUGAAACAAUUAGAUUAUAGCUUGAUGAACUGCACUUCAUGUUUAUAUUUUGGAUUAUAAUUUUCUUCCACGAUGUUUGGAAUUUCCUGAGUUUUUCCCUAAAGCAUGCAACACAUGAGUCCCCUUCCUGCUUGCUUUAGGGCUCAAAGAAUUGGAACUUUGUCUAUGUUUGAUGUGUUCUAGAAAGUAUGAUUCAUCUCCCUGAACAUGAGAAAUAUGUACUUCUUAGUGCUUACUUCAAACAAUUGAUAUACACAUGUGAUCAGAAAUAGGGUGGACCAUUCACCCAUAAAUUAUGUCUUUGAUAUCCUGUUUAUUCAUCAUGAAAGGAAAGGAUGAGAACUGCAGGUGUUCAAGAGAAUGACAUAUUGUUCUGAUUUGCUUUUGUGUCUAUUUAUACCAUUUAAAUAUGCCAGAAAAUGAGCUAAACUGUUUGUUUUACAGCGUGUAGAUUAGAUUCUUGUUUUUCAACUAAUAGGUGACACUAUAUGAUUAGAUUCUUUAUGCUGUUCCAUACAAAGUGCAAUUUUCUCUAACACUUAUCAAGUGGAACUGAUAUGCUGUAUUACACGGUGCACCCUUUUCAUACAGCUAUCUCACAAAUUUGCAGAAGAAACUAAAUUUUACAGGAUCUUGCUGGUGUAUAUAUUUACACAAAGAGAACCACUUUGAUAGACCUGAUGCAAGAUUGAUUAAAAAAAUAGUAGGUAAUGCUACAUGAAUUGUUCUUUUUACACACCUGGUCAGAGUUCAAGAGAUGCACGUGCUAGGCUCUUUCAUAUAUUGAAUUAAUAUACAUCACUUGCUGAAAUUUUUAAUUUAUACGGUUGGAUAGAAUAUAUUACGAUACAUGCAUAACAUCAUGCUGUAGGAUGCAGCACAACUACUUUGGAGAUGCAGUAACUUUUCACACAGCAUAGGGAACAAAUUUGUAUGACAUGCCCUUCAGGCUGUUUGUAGAGUUGCUUGCGAGGUUUUGCUGCUGUCACAGGGUGAGGAGAUAACAUGUGAAUGUGGGAAUUCUGAGCACAUGGGACUGCUGUGCUACAUGCUGUUAAGUUCAUCAAUGGUGCUCAACUUCCUGGGCUAUGAAGAGAUUCCUUGGAAACACAUUCUAUAAUGUUGGACGAGGGAUGCCAGGAAUAUCCUGCCGGAUCACCUUGCUCGCCUUCAGAAAGGCAAUUUGGCAAACAACUCUAAAAGGUACAGGCAUUCUGAUGGGAGCGGAGUGGGCAAUUGGAAAGGAUUAUCAGCUCCAGUUCGAGGGCAGGUCGUCCCACAAACAGCAGGGAUAAGCCUCCAUAUCAUGAUUGAGGGGUGCAAUUGAAGAAGCGCAAUGGUGUGACGAAAGCGACAGGCACAGCUGAGUGCGGUACAAGCAAAUGCGCGCACUUCUGCGGUAUAUGCCGGCAACCAGGACACAGAAGUACAGCUUGUCCUCAGAGGGGCGACCUCCCUCUGAAACCAGAGAAGGAAUCCAAAUGCUCAAACCGUGGAGUCGGCAGCCAUCGUAAGAACAUGUGCAGCAAAGCGGAAGUUGUACAACAUGUUGUAGAUGAUGUCAACGUGGAUGAUCUCUGCCUGGGCUCGGCUUUUCCUCCUUUGGUUUGGAUGUUUUAUGUGGAUGAACUUCAAUUUUUUCCCAGUUGGGUGAGCGCUCCGUAGCCGUGUAUGCAAAAGUCGAAUAUUGUUGUCUAUAGCCACUGUGUUUUUGUAAGUAACGGAACCGUGCUGCUGUAUUUGGUUGUGCUGUAUCUAUGGAACCCCAUUAAGAGGAAGUUUUUUCCAUGA